rnacentral:rRNA from 1 species
ACAGACGAGGAGCUUGCUCCUCUGACGUUAGCGGCGGACGGGUGAGUAACACGUGGAUAACCUACCUAUAAGACUGGGAUAACUUCGGGAAACCGGAGCUAAUACCGGAUAAUAUAUUGAACCGCAUGGUUCAAUAGUGAAAGACGGUUUUGCUGUCACUUAUAGAUGGAUCCGCGCCGCAUUAGCUAGUUGGUAAGGUAACGGCUUACCAAGGCAACGAUGCGUAGCCGACCUGAGAGGGUGAUCGGCCACACUGGAACUGAGACACGGUCCAGACUCCUACGGGAGGCAGCAGUAGGGAAUCUUCCGCAAUGGGCGAAAGCCUGACGGAGCAACGCCGCGUGAGUGAUGAAGGUCUUCGGAUCGUAAAACUCUGUUAUUAGGGAAGAACAAAUGUGUAAGUAACUAUGCACGUCUUGACGGUACCUAAUCAGAAAGCCACGGCUAACUACGUGCCAGCAGCCGCGGUAAUACGUAGGUGGCAAGCGUUAUCCGGAAUUAUUGGGCGUAAAGCGCGCGUAGGCGGUUUUUUAAGUCUGAUGUGAAAGCCCACGGCUCAACCGUGGAGGGUCAUUGGAAACUGGAAAACUUGAGUGCAGAAGAGGAAAGUGGAAUUCCAUGUGUAGCGGUGAAAUGCGCAGAGAUAUGGAGGAACACCAGUGGCGAAGGCGACUUUCUGGUCUGUAACUGACGCUGAUGUGCGAAAGCGUGGGGAUCAAACAGGAUUAGAUACCCUGGUAGUCCACGCCGUAAACGAUGAGUGCUAAGUGUUAGGGGGUUUCCGCCCCUUAGUGCUGCAGCUAACGCAUUAAGCACUCCGCCUGGGGAGUACGACCGCAAGGUUGAAACUCAAAGGAAUUGACGGGGACCCGCACAAGCGGUGGA